CCCGCUCAGAAACUCAAAGGAAUUGACGGGGCCGCACAAGCGGAGGAGCAUGUGGUUUAAUUCGAUGAUACGCGAGGAACCUUACCUGGGCUCGAACGUAAGAUGACUGUAGGUGAAAGCUUACAUCUCUUCGGAGCAUUUUACGAGGUGCUGCAUGGUUGUCGUCAGCUCGUGCCGUGAGGUGUCGGGUUAAGUCCCAUAACGAGCGCAACCCCUACCUUUAGUUGCCAUCAGGUAAUGCUGGGGACUCUAAAGGAACUGCCUACGCAAGUAGUGAGGAAGGCGGGGAUGACGUCAAAUCAGCACGGCCCUUACGUCCAGGGCUACACACGUGCUACAAUGGCCGAUACAGAGGGCAGCUACCUGGUGACAGGAUGCAAAUCUCCAAAGUCGGUCUCAGUUCGGAUCGGAGUCUGCAACCCGACUCCGUGAAGUUGGAUUCGCUAGUAAUCGCGCAUCAGCCAUGGCGCGGUGAAUACGUUCCCGGGCCUU
rnacentral:rRNA from 1 species